CAAAGAUUCAAAGCACUGCUUUUGCCUUUUCUGCUUGUCCAUCUUGAGAUCACAACUGUACACUGAAGAUGGGGUGCCUUUGCAUUGGGCUUCUACUAGGCAUGGUCUUGUUCUCUGCAGGACUGACUAUAGAAGGCCCAGUUUCCCUUGAGGAGUGUACAAGUCUUGGUGGGACUUGUAUGCCUUACGGAUGUGCGGAAAACACCUUCCUUGAAAGGUGUCGAAUGUAUGGUUAUAUCUGCUGUUCAAACUAAGAACACUCGAGCUGGCCAGAAUUGCAGCCUACCCGGGCAUGGUAAACCACCCCCCCAUCAGAAUCUAUUAGUUCUUAGGUUUGUUGCCCCUUCAUGGUUCACAGGUUUUCAUGUCAAAUUUCUUCUUUUCUUUUUCAGGGCUUUUUUUACUAUCCUCUUCCAGGAGAUCAUCACUCUUCCUUAUCUGGAAGUGGGAAGCCUCCUUAAAAUGCCUUGUAGAGUAUUACAUGGCUUCUCCUUUCUUGUCCUUGGCUCUUGGAGCUUCUGCCUUGGGUCAUUCAUUGCUGCUGUUGCCUCCAUCUCUCAUGCAAUGAAGGUGCCUCCUUUCAGCCCCCUCCUCUUCCUCCUUCGCACCUGGGCAACAUCCUUGCAGACGGCCAGUUCUCUCACACCAGAAGCGACCUGCAGUUUCUCAAGUCGCUCCUGAGACAAAAAAAGUCUAUGUGAUCUGUUAUUAAGAGAAAGAUGAACAAAAAUGAAUACAAUGGGGCUGGAUUGACAAACCUUAUUGCCAUGAGAAUGUGAAUACAUUGAACUUCUCUGAAUAACAAAAGAGAGUACAGCCAUACUUGUGA